rnacentral:rRNA from 1 species
UACGUAGGGUGCAAGCGUUGUCCGGAAUUAUUGGGCGUAAAGAGCUCGUAGGCGGUCUGUCGCGUCGGCUGUGAAAACCCGAGGCUCAACCUCGGGCCUGCAGUCGAUACGGGCAGACUAGAGUGUGGUAGGGGAGACUGGAAUUCCUGGUGUAGCGGUGAAAUGCGCAGAUAUCAGGAGGAACACCGGCGGCGAAGGCGGGUCUCUGGGCCAUAACUGACGCUGAGGAGCGAAAGCGUGGGGAGCGAACAGG